rnacentral:rRNA from 1 species
CCCUCUUUUUCCCUCUUUUUUCUUCCUUCUUUUUCUUCCCUCUCCCUUCUUCUUCCCUACCAGUCAGCUGUGAAAUCCUUCUGCUCAACGGAAGAACGGCAGUUGAUACUAUAGGGCUGGAGUGCGGGAGGGGAGAGUGGAACUUCUGGUGGAGCGGUGAAAUGCGUAGAUAUCAGAAGGAACGUCGGCGGCGAAAGCGACUCUCUAGACCGUAACUGACGCUGAGUGUGCGAAAGCUAGGGGAGCAAACGG